CUUAACUCCAUCAAAUUUCUCUUCAAUCAAACAAAGGAAGAGCAUGCCAAACCCUUACACCUUCCAUAGUCGAAUUCCCUCUUCCCCAAUCAUUGAUUUAAUCGAUUCUUGGCAUUAAAAAAUUGAAGAAAACGUGUUGAAGAGAGAAUCUUGAAAUGCCGAAUUGAAUUGAGAUUGGUGCAAGGGAAGAACUAAACCCUAGUUAGCCGAAUUGAAUUGAGAGAAAUUAAGGGGAGAUUCAAUUGAUUUUUGCCAUGACGUGUACUUGGUAAGGAGCCAUGAUGGGAAUCAAGGGGAGGAAAUUCUUGGCUAAAAGCCAUGACGUGUCACUUGUCACCACCAUUAUAAAAGACAUGGGCAAUAUGGUAAUGAAUUAUAUGGAAAUUAAUGUGGCAUGACGCUUGAGGUGUUGAUUUGUGCACAUGGUUAUGUUACAUGAUAAUAUCAUAUGUGUGUGGGAAUAAUAUGGAGAUUGGUGUGUUUAGAUGUUAUAAAUGAGCAUGAAGGUGCAUACAAAUGACAUUGGGAAUCAUACACAUAAA